rnacentral:lncRNA from 12 species
GAGAUAGGUGUUCCUAGGAAAAGGCGCAAGCUAGAGGCAUAACCCUAAGAAGAAAGCAGCCAGCAUUGUGCUGCAUCCUGACAACUGCACAGAGGAAAAGUGCCACAGCAGACACACGCCAGCUGUCCCUUCCAACCCAGCAAACUACUGCUUCCCCACCUGGAAAUAUGGUAUUUACCCUUUUCCUGGGGAAAUAACAUAUUCUGCAGCAGGACAAUGGAAGGCAGCUUGUUC